CACUGUAGUACGAAUGGAACAUUGAAUGUUUCUUAAUUACGACUUCUCCUCAUUAAUGUAUAAUUAUGAUAGUUGAAUCUCAUUACGGUGUUAAUGAAAUUUUAAAAUGGCUUCUAUAAUACAACUAAUAGCAACAAUAAGAAGCAAAAC